AACUCGACUACAUGAAGCUGGAAUCGCUAGUAAUCGCGAAUCAGAAUGUCGCGGUGAAUACGUUCCCGGGUCUUGUACACACCGCCCGUCACACCAUGGGAGUCAGUAACGCCCGAAGCCGGUGACCUAACCGAAAGGGAGGAGCCGUCGAAGGUGGGACCGAUAACUGGGGUGAAGUCGUAACAAGGUAUC
rnacentral:rRNA from 1 species